AGAACAAGUCUUUGCGGUUUUUAUCGUAAAGUUCCAAUUGUAACUCCAAUCGAAACCAAACAGAAGACAUUUUGAUCAAGAUUUGAAGGAGAACGCAAAGAUGUAGAUACGGGUGAGUAGGAUGCCCAAGAGAGUGAGCAGGAUGCCCAAGAGGGCGAGUAGGAGCAAGCCAAGGAGUUUAGGCGAGUCUUACUUGUUUUCGUCGUAAAAUCUCAACGGAAACUCUGAUUGAGACAAAACGACAAGCGCUUCGAUCGGGAUUCGAAAAAGAACGCAAAGAAGGAUCCUUUCGGGGCUGGUCCAACUGUCCAAAUCGCCAAAUGGGCGAGUUAGACGACUUGUUCGGAGAGUUGGAUCAACUAGCAAGUCCUCCAAC
rnacentral:lncRNA from 1 species